GAUGAACGCUGGCGGCGUGCCUAAUACAUGCAAGUCGAGCGAACAGACGAGGAGCUUGCUCCUCUGACGUUAGCGGCGGACGGGUGAGUAACACGUGGAUAACCUACCUAUAAGACUGGGAUAACUUCGGGAAACCGGAGCUAAUACCGGAUAAUAUAUUGAACCGCAUGGUUCAAUAGUGAAAGACGGUUUUGCUGUCACUUAUAGAUGGAUCCGCGCCGCAUUAGCUAGUUGGUAAGGUAACGGCUUACCAAGGCAACGAUGCGUAGCCGACCUGAGAGGGUGAACGGCCACACUGGAACUGAGACACGAUCCAGACUCCUACGGGAGGCAGCAGUAGGGAAUCUUCCGCAAUGGGCGAAAGCCUGACGGAGCAACGCCGCGUGAGUGAUGAAGGUCUUCGGAUCGUAAAACUCUGUUAUUAGGGAAGAACAAAUGUGUAAGUAACUAUGCACGUCUUGACGGUACCUAAUCAGAAAGCCACGGCUAACUACGUG
rnacentral:rRNA from 1 species